rnacentral:rRNA from 1 species
GACGGGGGGGGGCAAGCGUUGUUCGGAAUUAUUGGGCGUAAAGGGCGCGUAGGCGGCUUGGCAAGUGGAUGGUGAAAUCCCUCGGCUUAACCGAGGAACUGCCGUCCAAACUGCUUCGCUUGAGACCGGGAGAGGUGAGUGGAAUUCCCAGUGUAGCGGUGAAAUGCGUAGAUAUUGGGAGGAACACCAGUGGCGAAGGCGGCUCACUGGACCGGUACUGACGCUGAGGCACGAAAGCGUGGGGAGCAAACAGG